GCCCGAGCGGAGCCGGCCGCGAUGAGCGGGGAGCCGGGGCAGACGUCUGUAGCGCCCCCUCCCGAGGAGGUCGAGCCGGGCAGUGGGGUCCGCAUCGUGGUGGAGUACUGGUGAGCGGCCCCGGCUGGAGGACCCCCACCCUGGUCCCGCGGGCCGGACGGAGGUGGGUCCACGGGAGGCCCCACCCCCGAAUCCCCAGCCCAGCCCCAUCUCUUGACUCCCCAGUGAACCCUGCGGCUUCGAGGCGACCUACCUGGAGCUGGCCAGUGCUGUGAAGGAGCAGUAUCCGGGCAUCGAGAUCGAGUCGCGCCUGGGGGGCACAGGUGCCUUUGAGAUAGAGAUAAAUGGACAGCUGGUGUUCUCCAAGCUGGAGAAUGGGGGCUUUCCCUAUGAGAAAGAUGUGAGUAUUUACAGCGUUGGGAGGACCUCUUGGUCACCCUACCCCAACAGUGCAUCAUCCUGUCAUUCCACAUCUCUGUCCUCUAGCUCAUUGAGGCCAUCCGAAGAGCCAGUAAUGGAGAACCCCUAGAAAAGAUCACCAACAGCCGUCCUCCCUGCGUCAUCCUUUGACUGCACAGGACUCUGGGUUCCUGCUCUGUUCUGGGGUCCAAACCUUGGUCUCCCUUUGGUCCUGCUGGGAGCUCCCCCUGCCUCUUUCCCCUACUUAGCUCCUUAGCAAAGAGACCCUGGCCUCCACUUUGCCCCUUUGGGUACAAAGAAGGAAUAGAAGAUUCCGUGGCCUUGGGGGCAGGAGAGAGACACUCUCCAUGGACACUUCUCCAGCCACCUCAUACCCCCUUCCCAGGGUAAGUGCCCACGAAAGCCCAGUCCACUCUUCACCUCGGUAAUACCUGUCUGAUGCCACAGAUUUUAUUUAUUCUCCCCUAACCCAGGGCAAUGUCAGCUAUUGGCAGUAAAGUGACGCUACAAACA
rnacentral:sRNA from 1 species